AGAGUUUGAUCAUGGCUCAGGACGAACGCUGGCGGCGUGCUUAACACAUGCAAGUCGAGCGAUGAAACACCUUCGGGUGUGAAUUAGCGGCGAACGGGUGAGGAACACGUGAAGAAUCUGCCUUCAACUCUGGGAUAACUCCGGGAAACCGGGGCUAAUACCGGAUAUGAGCCUCGAUCGCAUGAUUGGGGCUGGAAAGUUUUUCGGUUGAAGAUGACUUCGCGGCCUAUCAGCUUGUUGGUGAGGUAAUGGCUCACCAAGGCGACGACGGGUAGCCGGCCUGAGAGGGCGACCGGCCACACUGGGACUGAGACACGGCCCAGACUCCUACGGGAGGCAGCAGUGGGGAAUAUUGGGCAAUGGAGGAAACUCUGACCCAGCGACGCCGCGUGAGGGAUGAAGGCCUUCGGGUUGUAAACCUCUUUCAGUAGGGAAGAAGCGGAAGUGACGGUACCUACAGAAGAAGCACCGGCUAACUAUGUGCCAGCAGCCGCGGUAAUACAUAGGGUGCAAGCGUUGUCCGGAAUUAUUGGGCGUAAAGAGCUCGUAGGUGGUUCGAUACGUCGGAUGUGAAAAUCAGGGGCUCAACCCCUGACCUGCAUCCGAUACGGUCGAGCUAGAGUUUGGUAGGGGAGACUGGAAUUCCUGGUGUAGCGGUGGAAUGCGCAGAUAUCAGGAGGAACACCGAUGGCGAAGGCAGGUCCCUGGGCCAAUACUGACACUGAGGAGCGAAAGCGUGGGGAGCGAACAGGAUUAGAUACCCUGGUAGUCCACGCCGUAAACGGUGGGCGCUAGUUGUGCGAACCUUCCACGGU
rnacentral:rRNA from 1 species